CAGCUUUCCCUUUGAUAAAAGUGGAAUGAAGCAAGUGCUGAUAUGUGCAUGUAUGUCAGUGCUUCUGUAACGCUUGGAAUUGAAAUACAUUUAAAAGAAAAUAAAUGCUUUUCAAGUGGUAAUGAGCUACAGUGCUUCAAAACCAUGGAUGUCUAUAAACUAACAAAAGCUUAAAUAGCAAUGUCCAACCCUGAAGAAAAACAGUUGUUUUGGCCAUUCACACAAGAGAGCUGAAUUUGGGUGCAGAAGCUGAUGGAAUCAUGCACAAGCUACCUUUUUUCUCUAUGAAUGUAGGUUUAAAGAAGUUGUUAAUGCUUGCUCAUGUGUAGCACUCAGUGUUCCUUUAUGGUCAUGUAAAAAAUGUCAUCCUUGUAGAAGUGGUUUAGAACAAUUUCAGAAACUGUUCAAAAUACACCAGAAGAAUUUUUGCAACAUUAAGGUUCUAGGAAUAGUCUUAAACAUAGAAAGAAUUUGCAGUAAAAUAGUGAAUUUCUAUAGGAAGGGAGACGAGCAAUCCUAAAUCUCUGACACUCAGUUUAUCAGAUUGACAGCAUUCAAAAGAACAAGGACGCCUCUUUGAGAGAGGGAUUGAAGUGGCAGGAUUAAACUGAAAUAAAUAGCAGGAAAAGAGAGAAUAUGAUUAAAGGAAAGAUAAUGGAUUCAGAUGGCUACUGAGGCUUGGAUCAGAACAUGUAAUUGUUCGCUGGACUUUGAGCCAGAGUGCAGAGUGCCCUCUAACUAGUGCAGAUUGCUCCAAGUGAUUGGCUGCAAUCUUUGUCUUGCCUUGUGUUGUGCUUGUUUCCACUCGGAAAAAUCCCAGCCAGGUUUUUGUUCUGACAAUGACCAUUUGACUGCAGUACAAAGUGGUAAAGGCCUGUCUGAGCCAGGAACAGGGAAGUCAAAUUGUGGUCCAAGAGCACAUAGGAAUGGUGGGUAGGUGUUAAGAGAGGAUGAUAUGUGGCUAGGCUGAGUCUCAGUAAUUAAUGUCUGUUUUUGAACACAGCACUUAACACCCAUUUUGGCUGCAGAGAAGACUUGGAUGUUGCACUCAAGUUUACUUGAAUUUAUUGAUCAUGUUGUAAGUGGUAGGACAGAGGUGGAGAUAAACGUUACUUGCUGUGGUUGGUUAAUGAGAACUGUUUGACGUGGAUGAUAAAUCACUAUCAAGUUAAAACCUCUCUUUUCCAGAGGAAUCAAGUGAUUAUUUGUGAAAGACUUGGUUUACUGACUGUAUUUUUGGAGAUGGUUGGAAGGCUAAUGAGAUAAAAGUCUUCAUCUGCUCUGAAAGGUGAGGCUACUAUGGGAAGGAGGAAAAGCUUAAAUUUUAUUAAAAAUCAGUCACUGACUCCAGAGAAAAUUACUUAAAACCAAAGGCAAAAGGCUUAGGGUGAGCACUUGGUACUUGUGGCCAAACCCAGGACUGGAUUUGUGUAGCUUAGGCGUGGGGGUCAGUAAGGAGUGAUCCAGAAUUGUGCCAUCAGUGCAGUAAUCUCACCGUGACCUGAAUGACAAAACUUCACAGCUAACAGUAUCUUUUGGUAAUAAUUGUUGGCUCCUGUUGUCAGGGGCUAGUUUUGAAAGAAACAAGUGGUGUAUUAGUCAUUGAUAUAUGUAAGAGUAUUAGAUUGCUGAAUUAAUACCAACAUUCAUGUAUGUUAUAAACCUGAGUUAUUUUACGUGGGUUUAUUUUCCUGGUAAAGCAACACGUGACCCAGAAAAACACUGGAUUGCCAGAAGGCAGCUAUAACUAGCAGCUGUUCAACUGGCUGUGUUAGGAUGUUUUGAUUUAAAAACAAGCAACGCCUUGCAGUGCUGUUGUAAAGGGCUGGGAGAUUGCCAGUGAAAAUGGCAGGAUCUGAAAUAUUUAAAAACUUAGCUUGUCAGAAUCUCUCCGGAUCACCUUUUAGCUGAGCAGAAGGUACAGUACAGCUAUUAACAGAAUGCUGUCAUACUGAAAAUAUUUUACUUUGACCACAGUUUUCCUCUUGCUUUUGCAUGUGUGCUCUGUCCUAUUCUACCCUCUCAUUAUAAGCAACUUGAGUCUUUUGGGCCAUUUCAGUUGAGAAGGAUCUCAGAGCUCACUGAGCUAAUACCAGUUGCAUGAAAAUUAGUGGCUCAGUAGAGAAGAUAGAUCCAAGACUUCCUGUGCUUAGGGAAGCGUUGCCAAGGAAGUUUGGCCAGUCGGCAGGCGAGACAGGCCAAGCGCAGAUCUGUCAGUCUGCACACAUGGAACCUGGCAAAGCACUUGCUUUCUUUUGCUCAAGCAGUAGUUAGGGACAUAAAUAGGAGCUAAGCCUACUGCGUGUGAAAGGGGACCCUCGGGGGGUGCUGGGUCACUGGGCUCUGUGGGAGGAGUGAGUGGGAAGGUGGGAAGAGGAGAAGAGAAGACUGAAGUCUGCGGGGAAUUGGGAUUUAUUAGUUCCGCUUUAUACAGCCUUGUAAAUUUGGGGCAAUGUGCCUGCCUUGAGUUUAUAGCUAGUGAUGGAAGACUUGAAAUUAUUUUUCCUGUUUAAAAAAAAAAAAAAAAAAAAAAAAAGCCUAAACUUUCCAUUGCAUGUAGAGGAGCAAAUAACUAAAGAAAGAAAUACUCUGCAAGGAGGAGAGCCAAAUUUGCUGAAUGUCAAAUUUUGUUGCAUGUAGGAAUUAAGUGCUGUUGAGUGAAUUAAGUUCUUUGAACUGCUGUCACAUUAGCUGAUGUAAGCAAUAACUGCAGGUAAAACAAAUUCCAAAGAAUAACUAAAAAAUGAACUUUUAAAACCUUUGCAAUUCUCCACCAGAGGCAGAAGGAACUGCUUGGUUUGGUUACGUAACAGCAAACAGUAUUAAAACAGUUGAGGUCAGUUGUUUUCGCUGGCCCGUUUCAUCCAUGGAAAGAAAGAAUGCAGUGAGUGUACUUCAUCUUCGUAUUUAUUUAUACAUUUUAUUUAAAGCCUGCUGAGAGACCUUUAAAACUUUGUUUGUAAGGCAUGGUUUAUACAAUUUUUCUUCCACCUUCUCAAAAAAUAAAAAUGAUCUUUUUCCCUCCAAAGGGCUGCUGUAUCCUCCACACUCUAUCUCUUGCUGAAAAAACUCUAGAUGCCACAGGGCAGCAUGGCCAUGGCCAUGCAGUCAGAGGGAACUGCUGUUCCCUGACCUUCUGUUCUGCACUUGUGUAUUUUUAUGGUAUUAUUGGAAGAAGACUACCUUUUUUCUCAGUUGAGAUUUUUUUUUUCCCCUCUGUUUCCUGAAUAAAUGUAGUGCCAUGAAUAAAGUAAACAUUGCUGUCAGUCUC